rnacentral:misc_RNA from 1 species
CCGGAAUGGCUCGCGACGGGACGGUGGUGCCGACGGCCGCGGUCGGCGAUGUGCUGAAGAAGAAGACCGCGGCGUCGCGGAGCUGGAUCCUGCUCGACAGCACCGGCGGCGAUGGCACGGUCCUCGACGCCGACAAGUACGCGAUCAUGCACCGCGUGCAGAUUCACGCUCGUGACCUCCGCAUCCUCGAUCCCCUCCUCUCCUACCCCUCCACAAUCCUCGGCCGCGAGCGCGCAAUCGUCCUCAAUCUCGAGCAUAUUAAAGCGAUAAUAACGGCGGAGGAGGUGCUGCUUAGGGAUCCGACGGAGGAGAAUGUGAUUCCGG